AGCAGCCGCGGUAAUUCCAGCUCCAAUAGCGUAUAUUAAAGUUGUUGCAGUUAAAAAGCUCGUAGUUGAAUUUCGGGGUCAGUAGGCUGGUCGUGCCACAGGUAUGUACUGGUCUUACUGAUUCCUCCUUCCUGAUGAACCGUAAUGCCAUUAAUUUGGUGUUGCGGGGAAUCUGGACUGUUACUUUGAAAAAAUUAGAGUGUUUAAAGCAGGCUAACGCUUGAAUACAUUAGCAUGGAAUAAUGAAAUAGGACGAUCGAUCCUAUUUUGUUGGUUUCUAGGAUUGACGUAAUGAUUAAUAGGGAUAGUUGGGGGCAUUAGUAUUCAAUUGUCAGAGGUGAAAUUCUUGGAUUUAUUGAAGACUAACUACUGCGAAAGCAUUUGCCAAGGAUGUUUUCAUUAAUCAAGAACGAAAGUUAGGGGAUCGAAGACGAUCAGAUACCGUCGUAGUCUUAACCAUAAACUAUGCCGACUAGGGAUCGGAUGAUGUAAUUUUUAAUGA
rnacentral:rRNA from 1 species